ensembl:lncRNA
UUCCGAACGAGGAGCGAACACCUCCUAACCAAAUCGGAACAGGUCCUAACCAAGAAGCAACCUCCAUGGCUGCAUUCCAGUUCGUUUUUUAUGCCCUUCACUUGCAAACUUCCCUUUGUCUCAUUUACACGGAUGUACGUCACUGGCUGCGUUCCACUCCACUUUUAGAUAUGCACUCGCAAACUUCCCUAAGCACUUCCCCUCGGGGGAAUCCCCACUGCCAAUUUGAAGUGCGUUCCACUUCAUAAAGUGGACAAGGGAAGUUUAUAUGGACAGAUUGGGAGAGCUUUCUUCGCAGUCAGUUCAAGACAGUCAUCCAGCCAGCAGACUGGGUGUGGAUUGCCAAGUGCCUCUAUGAGCCCACAGGUCAGCUGAGGCAGAAGAUCCAGGCAAACUGGUUUUAUUCACCGAUGCAGCCCAAGCCGUCUCCUCCUGAGCCCAGGUGGUACUUCCGACAGAGGAUGUUCUUGUGGGCACCAAUGAGGAUGUGGGGCAUUUCUCGUAAAUGCCCACAAUGUGGCCGGAAGAUGCAGCAUUUAGGGAUCUACCCGAAGGUCAGGGAGGUGAUCGAUAUGGAUAGCCACUACUACCUGGUGGGUGGGGACUAUCCACGCUGCAGUGCAUGCAAGUUGCCAGUAUGCCCAUGGAGCUAGGCCAUCCUUUCACAACUGGAUGUGGCACACAGGACCCUGUUUCCAGAGGUGCUGACCACUCAGCUAAUCCUGUACAGGAAAUGUGUAACCUUCCUCAAGAACCAGCGGCAACAGUUUCUCUUACCUCCAGUCAGCAGUAGAAGAAGUCCUCAGUGAGGAGUGGGCACGACGGACCAUCCAGUACCUCUCUGACUGUAACCAUCGUUUGAGAAAGGUUGCCCUGGUCCAAUCUGCAACGACACCUAUCUUUUCUGCACCUGCACCCUUCAAGCCACUUCCACUCGCCCAGUGGUUUGAGACUGUCCACUACAACGGCAUCCUGUAAUUUGAGACAGCCAACUCCACCACAAGAUGAAGGGGUUAUUACCUACACCUAUGGCCGAAGGUACAAUAUAUAAAGAUCACCAAAAAGCUGGCUGGUGGCAUUGGGGACAUGGCCGCAUGGAUGACCAACAUUGGUAAUUAGCUCGGCCAGGUUCUGAACAGUGUUCUGACAACAGCUGAAGGCACAGGACUGGAGGAGCUGUGCCAGGGCAUCGUCGGAUGCUACCAGAAUGCUGGCAAACCAGAGCCUGAGGUUAUCUAUGUUGACCGGGAUUGCUGCAGUCUGUAAUUUUCAAAUUACUACUUUGUGAAAUGUGCAUUGCAGUAUAUUUUACAAAAGUCAAUAGUGGUGUAGUCCUUUUAGCCCUUUUGCCCUGUUUUUGGCU